GACAGAGGAGCCAAGCGUUGUCCGGAUUGACUGGGCGUAAAGCGCACGCAGGCGGCCCGGCGCGUGGGGUGUGAAAGCUGGCGGCUUAACUGCCAGAUGCCAUCCCAUACGGCGCGACUCGAGCCCGUGAGAGGUCCACGGAAUUGCCGGUGUAGUGGUGAAAUGCGUAGAGAUCGGCAGGAACACCCAGGGGGAAACCAGUGGACUGGCACGGUGCUGACGCUCAGGUGCGAAAGCGUGGGGAGCGAACCGG
rnacentral:rRNA from 1 species